rnacentral:tRNA from 1 species
GGAGGGAUGGCUGAGUCCGGUUUAAGGCACACGAUUCGAAAUCGUGCGUGGCAGGAAUGUCACCGAGGGUUCGAAUCCCUCUCCCUCUGCCA